GCUGGGGAAAAGAGUGCAGAGGAGGAGUGGAGACCUUUGGACAAGAGAGAGAGUGAGAGGGGGAAUGAAAUGGAGCGGGAGAGAGAGAGUGCAAUGGCAGAAAAGGGGAGCGGUGAGAGGAAGAGAGAGUUUGCUGAGUGUGAGUAGUAUUAGAUGUGUCCAGUCUCUCUUCUAAGGGGCUUCUUGGAAUCAAGUGUCAAUUCUACCUCCUGUAGUCUUUCAGCUGAGCCGUUUUUCUGCUAUCAGGAGUUAGCAGGCAGCUGCCCAGCCUACAGUCACACACACACACACACCAACAGUGCUGGAGAUGAGCACAGAAGUAUUUCAAGAAGCUGCCGGUUACACAGUCAGCUUGGGAUAGGAGUACAUUCUCUAUCAGGCAGGUAGUGGGGCAUGUCGGUGAAGCUGCGCUUCGAGUGUCCAGCGGAGGGGGACGUGGUCCAGAGGAGCCGCUCCUUCACAGGGUUCAGCUCCAUAAGUGGGCGCCGCCGGGUUUCCUCAGUGCGUAACUCUUUUAGGUCGAAGACAGUUUUGAGGAAAUCUCCCAGGAUGCAUCCUUCUCCAACUCGAAUGGGGGCAAGUAUCUGGGGACAGCAACCAGAGCAGGUGAACCAGAUCUUCCAAGCCUUACGGAAAGGCCUCAAGGAAUAUCUGGAUGGCCAUCAGGCUGAAAUGGACUUUCUAUCCUCCCAGCAGAGAGACACCAAGAGGAACUCCAGACUGGCGUUUCUGUAUGAUUUGGAAAAGGAGAUCCGAGCUUUGGAGAGAUAUAUACGAAGACUGGAGUUCCAAAUCAGCAAGGGGUCAGCAACACUAAACGCUAGACCACAAUUCUGUGGCCUCUACGUGGGACUAUGGGGAGCCACAAUUAAUUCCUGGGGGGGUUUCAACAGUAAAUUUGCAACAAUGUACUGGGAAGAAAAACACCAUGUGGAGGAGCUGUACGAGGCUUAUUGCAUCCAGUGGCGUCUGUGUCAAGGGGCAUUGAACAUGAAGAAGGCCUUCUCUCUACUGCCCUCAUCACGAGCCUCCAGGGAGAGCCUGCUGGAACUCAGCCGUAACCAUCGCCACAGCCUGGAGGAUAUGUGUAUCUUGGAGGGGGAGUUGGAGAUUCUCUUGGGAGAGCUUUGCAUCAAAAUGAAAGGACUGAUUGGCUUCGCUCGACUAUGCCCAGGAGACCAAUACGAGGUUGUAAUCCGUUUGGGGAGGCAAAGGUGGAAGAUCCGGGGCAAAAUUCAGACGGAUGACAAGCAGUCGUGGGAUGUGGAGGAGAUGGUCUUUCUACCUCACAUCCAUGAGAACUUUGACAUAAAGGUAACUGAGGUCAAGGGCCUGGGCUCCUUGCUGGUUGGCAUGGUAACGUGUAGGAGUGCUGACUUCUUCAUGUCUCGACCUCAGCUCAUGGUGGUGGACAUCACUGAACUAGGAACCAUCAAGCUUCAAUUAGAGGUGGUGUGGAAGAAAUACAGUUUGACUGCCCGAGUUGAAUAUCAAAGACGAAAUAGUCCAUUUGACAGUGGGGAUGUGAGGCCCAUCACCACAGCGUCCAGCAGGCAGUCCAUUCACAGCCGAAAGGGAUCCGUCUACAGCUGGACGCCUCCCAACACACCCAGCUUCACAGAAAAAUAUUUCAUAUCCAUGGUCCGGCAGCUUCAUCAUGACCCAGAGUGCUCCCUGGUGUCACGGGCAUCUCGGGGAGUGUCUCUACUUAGCUACCUUGCAGAUACCUCCCAGGCCCCCACCCCCUCUUACAGCCAGGGUGGCAGCCAAACCCAAAUCAGCCUAGCUGAGGAUCUAGCCACAGAGAGCAGCCCUCCGGAGCAGCAGACAUUGAAGGGAUUAUCAGGGACUUCCGAGACAGGGGACAUGUGGCCCCUGACUGAUCCGGACACAGGCCCCUCCUCUUCCUCCACACUCGGGGAGACGAACCGCAGCUCCCUGCUUACCUUGCGGCAACGUUACAGCACUCCCGAUAUCCUCAGACAGAAUGGAGGCCCCAGCCCAAGUUCCAAUCCAAUUCCUGGUAAAACAGUAAAGGGUAAAGAGACAACGCCGGAGACAGUUCUGAUAGUGGGGGGAGGCCCAGGUGGGGAGAUGCAGAUGAGGCUAGGGUACAAGGAGAGUGAGGAGGCUCCAGCCAAGCCGGUGGAGACCAGCAGUCAGCGCAAAGCACAGGCUCUGAGGAUCAGUGCUCUGCUAAGGGGGCUGGAGACUAGUCUACAGGGCCAAGAGUCCACACAGAGGGAGCUAAGGGCACUGGGAAAUCAGAUCCUGCACCUCAGCACCAUUUUAAAAAAUGACCUUUCCUUGCUGAAGAGUUCCUCUGCCGAGACGUUGGCUGUGGAAGAGGAGGAGGUCCUGGAGAGUUUUGACUUUUUGUCCACAGACUUUAACGCCGAUGAGGAUGUUUCUUGUGUGGGCAGCAUGCGCCUCAAAAACAAAAGUUCAUUCCAUCAGAGUAUGCCAAGAAGCCUUGGGCUUUUUUCUCAGUACAGCCAAUCCCAAGAGAAGCUGGAUGUUGCCCCACUGACCACUGGGAACUAUAGUCUGGACCAGGCUCUAGAAACACACCUGAGCAUCUGCACUCUUCUGCUGAAGGCAAUUAGGAAUUCAGAGUCUGCAAUAGUUCAGCGGGACAUUUUGGAUGAGAUGUUGCUCCAAGCAGAGGUACUUGAUAGAGUGAGCAGGUUGAUGCUGGAGAAGACACAAAUGUCUUCUGACUAUGAGAUGCUCCCGAAGGUCCAGGGACAGAAGGAGUUGCUGAUGUUUUGGGAGGAGUGUGCAGGCAGCAAAUCGCUCCUCUGCUGUCCCACCGACACUUUUGUUAAGACCCUGAGGAAGCGUUACAUCCACAAAGUCAAAGCCAAGCAGCCCGGUCAACCAGAUGCAGUGUUUGCACAGCUGUUGCAGCAGAUCCAGGCUAGCUGUCGGAUGGUGCCUAUGGCCCGUUGCACUCUGGACUGGAUUACCAUCUUCCAGCUGUCCACCUACCUGAGCCGCUGGAGCUUUACAGACCUGGGAGAGCACAUCUCCCGCCUCUCCAAAGAAGUUCACCUGGUGUCUGCUCUGGAGAGUCCUAAAAGGAGAAGGACACUGAAGAAGUUGAAAGGGAGGUGCAUCGCCGAGCUGCUGCCUCUGUGCUGUACCCUCCAAUGUCUAGCCGACCUCCAGAUAGAUGUCAACCACAAAGUCUCCCAGGCUGCCAGAAACUGUCUCUGCAGAGCCACAAGCAACAAAGCCUUCAGGACUAAGGCUAUAGUGUACUACACUGAAGUCCUGAGGGAUAGCGAUGUCAGGCUCCAACAGGCUGCCUGUCUGGCCCUAAUGUGUCUCAAAGUUUUUCAUCUGCAAGUCACUUUCUCACAAGAAGGCAAUGAUGCAUCAACUAUGCUAUUUGCAUUAGAUUCAAUAAGCUCCACAAGCCCAAGAUAAGUGCUGACAAACCUAUUGUGUUUCUUUGACCAGUACUUCACAGAUAUGCAGAGCAGUUUGUUCACCAUUAUGUUGGUGGUUUCAUCGAGAUAAAGAAAUGUGGCAGCAGCACAGACUUAAUAAUUGCCAUGCACUUUGUUCUAUGCAUUUUAAAUGUGCCAAACUCAUCAUCUAAUAUAUCUGACAAGUCUUCCACAGCAUUGAUGGAAGUGUGGUAGGUUGCAAUUCUGAGUUCAUGACAUUUUUGGUCAUCUUUAAUAGCACUUACUGUAGAUCUAGAUUUGUGUUUCAUGGUUUUUGCAUGAUCUUGUAGAUAAUUGAGAUGGGCUCUGAUCUGUGCAUUGCAAUAUUUGCAGCGGGCUUUUGACUCAUCACCAGGGACAGACACAAUCCAAGAAAAAGGUUUGCAGAGAAGAAUCAUCCAGCCUACCAGAUGAUAGCAAGAGUGUGGAUUUACGAACACUUCUCACAGUUCCUAUCUGUCACUCCCAUACUCCACCAGCAUGGCUUGAAUGAGGUGCAUUCAUGAUGAGGUCGCAAUGCUUCUCAGCGAGAAAGGCAACUGAGAGCGUGGAGCAGGUGGCCGAGUUGUGGCGGUCGACCGAUGAGGAUCUGCGCAGCGCUGC